GACGUAGGGUGCGAGCGUGUCCGGAUUUAUUGGGCGUAAAGAGCUCGUAGGCGGCUUGUCACGUCGAUUGUGAAAGCCCGAGGCUUAACCUCGGGUCUGCAGUCGAUACGGGCAGACUAGAGUGCGGUAGGGGAGACUGGAAUUCCUGGUGUAGCGGUGAAAUGCGCAGAUAUCAGGAGGAACACCAAUUGCGAAGGCAGCUCGCUGGGACGUAACUGACGCUGAGACGCGAAAGCGUGGGGAGCAAACAGG
rnacentral:rRNA from 1 species